GACGAACGCUGGCGGCGUGCUUAACACAUGCAAGUCGAACGGAAAGGCCCUGCUUUUGUGGGGUGCUCGAGUGGCGAACGGGUGAGUAACACGUGAGUAACCUGCCCUUGACUUUGGGGUAACUUCAGGAAACUGGGGCUAAUACCGGAUAGGAGCUCCUGCUGCAUGGUGGGGGUUGGAAAGUUUCGGCGGUUGGGGAUGGACUCGCGGCUUAUCAGCUUGUUGGUGGGGUAGUGGCUUACCAAGGCUUUGACGGGUAGCCGGCCUGAGAGGGUGACCGGCCACAAUGGGACUGAGAUACGGCCCAGACUCGUACGGGAGGCAGCAGUGGGGAAUAUUGCACAGUGGGCGGAAGCCUGAUGCAGCAACGCCGCGUGCGGGAUGACGGCCUUCGGGUUGUAAACCGCUUUCGCCUGUGACGAAGCGUGAGUGACGGUAAUGGGUAAAGAAGCACCGGCUAACUACGUG
rnacentral:rRNA from 1 species